rnacentral:rRNA from 1 species
AUUAGGAAUCUUGCACAAUGGGCGAAAGCCUGAUGCAGCGACGCCGCGUGAGGGAUGACGGCCUUCGGGUUGUAAACCUCUUUUAUCGGGGAAGAAGAAUGUGACGGUACCCGAGGAAUAAGCCCCGGCUAACUACGUGCCAGCAGCCGCGGUAAUACGUAGGGGGCGAGCGUUGUCCGAAGUUACUGGGCGUAAAGCGCGCGUAGGCGGCUUUUUAAGUCUGGUGUGAAAGGUUCAGGGCUCAACCCGAACAGUGCACUGGAUACUGGAGAGCUUGAGUUAGGGAGAGGAGAGUGGAAUUCCUGGUGUAGCGGUGAAAUGCGUAGAUAUCAGGAGGAACACCCAUGGCGAAGGCAGCUCUCUGGCCUAUAACUGACGCUGAGGUGCGAAAGCGUGGGGAGCAAACGG